AGCGAACGUUAGCGGCGGGCCUAACACAUGCAAGUCGAGCGAGAAAAGGGCUUCGGCCCUGAGUAAAGCGGCGGACGGGUGAGUAACACGUAGGUAAUCUUCCCUUGAGCGGGGGACAACGAGCCGAAAGGCUCGCUAAUACCGCAUACGUUUCCAGAGGCCCCGGUCUUUGGAAGGAAAGCUAGGCCGCAAGGUCCGGCACUCGAGGAGGAGCCUGCGUCGCAUCAGCUAGUUGGUGGGGUAACGGCCUACCAAGGCGAAGACGCGUAGCUGGUCUGAGAGGAUGAUCAGCCACACUGGGACUGAGACACGGCCCAGACUCCUACGGGAGGCAGCAGUGGGGAAUAUUGGACAAUGGGCGCAAGCCUGAUCCAGCCACGCCGCGUGAGUGAUGAAGGCCUUCGGGUCGUAAAGCUCUGUGGGGAGGGACGAACCGCUGCACGUUCAUAGCGUGCAGCAUGACGGUACCUCCUUAGCAAGCACCGGCUAACUUCGUGCCAGCCGCCGCAGUAAAAC
rnacentral:rRNA from 1 species